UCCUACGGGGGGCAGCAGUAGGGAAUCUUCGGCAAUGGACGAAAGUCUGACCGAGCAACGCCGCGUGAGUGAAGAAGGUUUUCGGAUCGUAAAACUCUGUUGUUAGAGAAGAACAAGGACGUUAGUAACUGAACGUCCCCUGACGGUAUCUAACCAGAAAGCCACGGCUAACUACGUGCCAGCAGCCGCGGUAAUACGUAGGUGGCAAGCGUUGUCCGGAUUUAUUGGGCGUAAAGCGAGCGCAGGCGGUUUCUUAAGUCUGAUGUGAAAGCCCCCGGCUCAACCGGGGAGGGUCAUUGGAAACUGGGAGACUUGAGUGCAGAAGAGGAGAGUGGAAUUCCAUGUGUAGCGGUGAAAUGCGUAGAUAUAUGGAGGAACACCAGUGGCGAAGGCGGCUCUCUGGUCUGUAACUGACGCUGAGGCUCGAAAGCGUGGGGAGCAAACAGGAUUAGAUACC
rnacentral:rRNA from 1 species